GACGAACGCUGGCGGCGUGCUUAACACAUGCAAGUCGAACGGAAAGGCCCUGCUUUUGUGGGGUGCUCGAGUGGCGAACGGGUGAGUAACACGUGAGUAACCUGCCCUUGACUUUGGGACAACUUCAGGAAACUGGGGCUAAUACCGGAUAGGAGCUCCUGCUGCAUGGUGGGGGUUGGAAAGUUUCGGCGGUUGGGGAUGGACUCGCGGCUUAUCAGCUUGUUGGUGGGGUAGUGGCUUACCAAGGCUUUGACGGGUAGCCGGCCUGAGAGGGUGACCGGCCACAUUGGGACUGAGAUACGGCCCAGACUCCUACGGGAGGCAGCAGUGGGGAAUAUUGCACAAUGGGCGGAAGCCUGAUGCAGCAACGCCGCGUGCGGGAUGACGGCCUUCGGGUUGUAAACCGCUUUCGCCUGUGACGAAGCGUGAGUGACGGUAAUGGGGAAAGAAGCACCGGCUAACUACGU
rnacentral:rRNA from 1 species